CUGUUUUCAGUGCACAGCUCCCAGUCAGAGCCAGGAGGAAAUUCUUAGAAGUGUCAGUCACGCUGGUUAUCUAGUGUGUAAAAAACCCCGAAGUUGUUUCCUGUUUUAUUUUCACAUGAUAGAAGAGCAGCUGAAGUAUGUCUAAAAAACCCUGUGAAUAUGAUUUUCAUGGCCGAGGCCAUACCUUAGCUGCUCACCAGCACUGUAAAAGCCUUCGGACAUGAAUAAAAACCCAAGUACUUCUUUAAAUAUUUACAGUGAGUAAUUAAACCCUUUUAAUUUGUUGCUCCACUGUCUCUUUCCCUGUUUUUUUAUUUUUUUCUCUCCCUCUCCCUCUCAUACACAAAUGCAGCAGGCCAACACUUUGACAUACAGGAUGUGCAUCUCUCAGUAUUCUACAAUCCGGCGGUUUGUUUUUGUCUACGUGCAACACUAAAACAGCCAUAUUCGAAAAAGCUGCGUCCGCAAUCACGCUAUCGCAAUAAUGACGUUGUUUAUUCGAAUCAAAACACGGAUGGAGGGCGCGCGGAGCGCCUGGCGGGGGCUUGUUUGCCGUUUGCUUGUGUUCUAAUAUCUACUUUUUGCGGAGCUGUGCUGACACACUGUGUGUGGUCCACUUUGGUCCGGGCUGUCGAAGCGAAGGGCCACGGCGGUGUGCGUUGUUGUCUUUUUGACUUCAUCUUUCAACACCGGUCAGCGUUGCUUAUAAUAAAACCAGAUUAUGAAAACAUUCUUGAGACCUGACAUGGACUGACAAAUUCAAAUAUCAACAAGAAGAUAUGACAAAAAAAAAAAAAAAAAAAGGGCACCCGGAGCGGUCUGCCACUGCUCGUGUAAACAGUCAAUGAAUUUCUGAGUUAUUCCGACUUUUUUUUUUGUCUAUAUUUUAUCAUUUGAUUCUUAGGUCUGCUCUGCAAACAGCUGGAAAUCCCAGGAUUCGGCCAGGAUGGGGUUUUUCCAGAGAAGCCAGUCAAAUUUGAUGGGAAGAUGGGGACUCCAUAUGAAAACAGAUGAAAACCUGUUGAAGAAGGCAAAAGACUUCGGACCGGAGUGGAGAGUCACCUUCCAGCACCGGCAACGAAAACAUCAGAGUCGGAGUAACAACGGGAGCAACAAAGAAAAAUGGACAAAAAAAGCAGCUGGUAGUGAGCAACCGUGAGGGACUGCAGCAAAACGCAGUUCACAGAAGACUACUUUCCAUGAAGUCUUAGGGACCAUCGUAAAUUUUUGUUCAGUUCACCGUGGCAAACUUCCAUGGAUGUGAUUUUUACCCAGUUUCUUUCUUAUUGCUGAAUUAUAAACAUUAAGAUUGGACCACGAUGUGUUGCUUUUCAAGUUGUUUCACCCUACUUUGUGUUGUGAAACAAGUUCCAUAAAGUGAUUUUGUGAUUUUACUCGACAGACGUGGCUGAUCAGGCUCUUGUGUCGCCAGUGAAAUUGAAAUUGAACAAUUAGGUUAAACACAGUUAGUUCAACAAGGUUAAAUAGACUGUCACCGAACGACCAGGCGCAGGAUCGAACCGUGAAAGCGUCGCCAGGUUCCUACAGAAAUCAGAGGUGCCACACACCCUGACACAACACACACAAAUAAACAUUUCAGACGGUUGAAUAAAUAAAACUAGGAACGACAAAAAAACCAACCCCAGCUUUGAUUAAAAAUUGAACUGUCUCAUUAUUUUCUCAGCCAUUUUAGAAUCUAUUUUAUGCAUUUAAAUAACUUCUCUUGUCUUGUUUCCAUCCCUUUUAUAUUUACUGUUCUGUCUUUUUAUAGUAAUAAUAAUACCACUUAAUCUGUUGAUUAUACAAAAGUUAUAUUAUUUAGAUCAACUACAUGUGAUCUAAAUUUACCAAAUUGUUUACAGUCCAGAACCUGCCCCACGGACCCCACUUUGCACACAACAGGUUUAGGUGGAAGACCAUUCCUGUGUAGAGUUGCACUUGUGCAACGUUUGUUUUUUUUCUGAUUUCAGAAAAUAAUAUACAAAGCUUGAGAUAUUGUUUGAAAACCUAACCCUGCUUUAACCUUUACAACUUUCUCCCUAACGUUUCUGCCGUGUUCCUUAGUCUUAGUCCUUGUUCUCCAACAAACCUCUGAAGCCUUCGCAGACCAGCUGGAUUCACACCGAGAUUAAAUUACACACACUUGAACCUUA